AUAUCAGUAAGCGGAGGAAAAGAAACUAACAAGGAUUCCCUUAGUAACGGCGAGUGAAGCGGGAACAGCUCAAAUUUAAAAUCUGGCAUCCCCUUUAGGGGUGUCCGAAUUGUAAUUGAGAGGGUCGUCUUUUGGGCAACGUCAUGGUCAAAGUUCCCUGGAAAGGGACAACAAAGAGGGUGACAUUCCCGUUUGGGUCAUGAUACUAGGUAUUGUUGUUCAAUAUAAAGACGGCUCGAAGAGUCGGACUGUUUGGGAAUGCAGUCUAAAAUGGGUGGUACAUUUCACCUAAAGCUAAAUACAGGCAAGAGACCGAUAGCGAACAAGUACCGUGAGGGAAAGAUGAAAAGAACUUUGAAAAGAGAGUUAAAUAGUACGUGAAAUUGUUAAAAGGGAAACGAUUGAGACCAGUGAUGUCCUUCUCAUUCAUGAGCGCAUUCCUUCGUGGAUGUGUGUUUGGGUGAGGGAUGGUCGACGCUCCUUUUAACUCUUGGAGAAGACGAGAGGAAAGAUGGCUCUACCCUUCGUGGUAGCUGCUUUAUAGUCCUCUUGGGAUACACAGAGUCUUUAUUUAUAGGAGGAGACAGGUAGGAUCGCGAGAUCCACGUCGACGAAAUGGUCUUAAACGA
rnacentral:rRNA from 1 species